rnacentral:rRNA from 1 species
GACGAACGCUGGCGGCGUGCUUAACACAUGCAAGUCGAACGGAAAGGCCCUGCUUUUGUGGGGUGCUCGAGUGGCGAACGGGUGAGUAACACGUGAGUAACCUGCCCUUGACUUUGGGAUAACUUCAGGAAACUGGGGCUAAUACCGGAUAGGAGCUCCUGCUGCAUGGUGGGGGUUGGAAAGUUUCGGCGGUUGGGGAUGGACUCGCGGCUUAUGAGCUUGUUGGUGGGGUAGUGGCUUACCAAGGCUUUGACGGGUAGCCGGCCUGAGAGGGUGACCGGCCACAUUGGGACUGCGGUACGGACCAGUGUCCUACGGGAGGCAGCAGUGGGGAAUAUUGCACAAUGGGCGGACGCCUGAGGCAGAAACGCCGCGUGCGGGAUGACGGCCUUCGGGUUGUAAACCGCUGUCGCCUGUGACGAAGCGUGAGUGACGGUAAUGGGUAAAGAAGCACCGGCUAACUACGUG